ensembl:misc_RNA Y_RNA Y RNA
GGCUUGUCCAAUGGUAGUGGGUUAUCAAACCUUAUUAACAUUAAUGUCAUUAAAGUUGGUAUCCACCCCUCACUGCUAAAUUUGACUGGCUUUAA